UCUACCUUUUGUUCAUGUUUUUACAGCAAUACUUUCUCUCACCAGCAAUGAUCCAACAGAACCCUGACAAAGCCAACAAGAACUGCAGUGAGACACAGAUACAGCUCUUUGGGGUAUGCUGCCCCCUCCCCUCUGGGUCCCAGGGGAACGACAUCCAUGUUGUCAUAAUCAGGUUGAAGAUGGCCAUCCAUAGCAGGCUUUUUUUCUUCUUUUUUUUCUUCUAUGGAACAGAAGGGGUAUGGUUUGCGCCUCAAGAAGAUGUUGGAUUGGAAUGUGUCAUGUGUGGAUCUUCGAAGCAGGGUGCCUAUCAAGGGUGUUAUCUCUGGGUUGACACUAGUGAAGGAGACGGAGGUGGCAAGGAUAAGGGCUGUCCAGCAUGU
ensembl:lncRNA